ACUCAAUAGAUACCCAGGUAGUCCACGCCCUAAACGAUGUCUACUAGUUGUUGGUGGAGUAAAACCCAUGAGUAAACGCAGCUAAACGCGUGAAGUAGACCGCCUGGGGAGUACGGUCGCAAGAUUAAAGCUCAAAGGAAUUGACGGGGGCCCGCACAAGCGGUGGAUUAUGUGGAUUAAUUCGAUGCAACGCGAAAACCUUACCUGGCCUUGACAUGCCACUAACGAAGCAGAGAUGCAUUAGGUGCCCGUAAGGGAAAGUGGACACAGGUGCUGCAUGGCUGUCGUCAGCUCGUGUCGUGAGAUGUUGGGUUAAGUCCCGCAACGAGCGCAACCCUUGCCAUUAAUUGCCAUCAUUUAGUUGGGCACUUUAAUGGGACUGCCGGUGACAAACCGGAGGAAGGUGGGGAUGACGUCAAGUCCUCAUGGCCCUUAUGGCCAGGGCUUCACACGUAAUACAAUGGUCGGUACAGAGAGUUGCCAACCCGCGAGGGGUAGCUAAUCUCAGAAAGCCGAUCGUAGUCCGGAUUGUUCUCU
rnacentral:rRNA from 1 species